ACAGGGAAAGCCGAAAACCUGUAAUAUAGUAGGCA
rfam:Bacteroidetes bacterium 43-16 scnpilot_expt_750_bf_scaffold_81, whole genome shotgun sequence.